rnacentral:lncRNA from 1 species
GACCAAAACCCUAAUCCCUUUUCUACAUAAAGGGGGCUCCAAUAGUGGAUGCCCCAUAUGUUCUCCUUAUUGAUUUUUAUUUUUCUCUAGAGCUCCUUCUCCUCUCCUCACUACAAUAAAAUAGGUUAUUUAGGAUGAAUAUUUUUUAUUGCUAAUAAUCUAUUUUCAUCGCUAAUAUUAUUAGCGAUAAAAUUUUCAUCGCUAAUAUUUCAUCAUCAAUAAUCAGGUCAUUG